rnacentral:rRNA from 1 species
GACGAACGCUGGCGGCGUGCUUAACACAUGCAAGUCGAACGGAAAGGCCCUGCUCUUGUGGGGUGCUCGAGUGGCGAACGGGUGAGUAACACGUGUGUAACCUGUCCUUGACUUUGGGAUAACUUCAGGAAACUGGGGCUAUUAUCGGAUAUGAGCUCCUGCUGCAUGUUGGGGGUUGGUAAGAUUCGGCGGUAGGGGAUGGACUCGCGGCUUAUCAGCUUGUUGGUGGGGUAGUGGCUUACCAAGGCUUUGACGGGUAGCCGGCCUGAGAGGGUGACCGGCCACAUUAGGACUAAGGUACGGCCCAGACGCCAACGGGAGGCAGCGGUGGAGAAUAUUGCGAAAUGGGCGGCAGCCUGAUACAACAACGCCGGGUGCGGAAUGACGGCCUUCGGGGUAUAAACCGCUUUCGCCUGUGACGAAGCGUGAGUGACGGUAAUGGGUAAAGAAGCAACGGCUAACUACGUG